CUUAUUAGUACUUAACAUCAAAUACGUGCGUACAUGUGUAGAUAUAGUGUGAGCAAAAUUAUCAUAUAGUAUACAUAUCUCUAAUAUUUUUUUAUCGAUAAUAUAUAUUAAAUCAUAAUUUUCUGAAACAUGCUUUGUCAUCACGAUGGACAUAAAAAUAUACGUAGAAAUUCUAUCGACUUUAUGAUAUAAAUUUUAUGAUAACCUCAAUUUAAUUUUCAUCUAUGAUUGUGUAUUUACAAAGCUGAUACUUUUUUUAAUUCUAAUGUGUAUUACUCUUCUUAUCAACAUAGUCAAUAUUAAAUAAACAUCUGAUUGUGUGGCGUAUGAAGAAAACAGUUAAGUUCACAAUCACUUAAGUGUAUAAUAUGUAGUAAUUAUUCCAAUGUAUAAUAUUUUAACUCAGAAACUAUUUCGCGUUACCAAGGCAUCGAUAAAACGAGACUUCUUAUUGUACCAAACGAUUAUAUCUCGAUACAUUUUAUAUUCUUAUUGGAGUAAAUGUAAUACAAAAUAUAUUGCAAAUAUGUCUAUAAAAUGCUUUCAAGGACACAAGGACAUCUAUAAUGGUGUAACUAUACAUUCCAUUGAAGAACCUUGUCCCAUCACAGUGUUUUCCCAAUGUUUACAAGCUUCCUUAAAUAUCUGGUCAGAACAAAAGAAACGGACAAUAUGGUUUCAUGUGCACUUGUCGCACUCCGAAUGGAUACCAAUUUUAGUACAAAAAGGUUUCAAAUUUCAUCAUGCACGAGAAGAAUAUGUUAUGCUAUAUAACUGGUUGAACAAAGAAACAGUUUGUAAUAUUCCACCUUAUGCUCAUACAAAUUUAGGUGUAGGAGCAUUUGUUUAUAAUGAAAAAACUUCAGAAAUUUUAGUUGUGAAGGAAAAAAAUUACAUAGGAAAUCAGUUUUGGAAACUACCAGGUGGUUAUGUCGAGCCAGGAGAAAAUAUAGAUGAAGCUGCACAAAGGGAAGUGUUAGAAGAAACAGGUGUUCAAACAAUGUUCAAAUGUCUUGUAACUUUUAGACAUGCACAUAAUGCUGCUUUCAAUUGUUCAGAUAUAUAUAUGGUAGCUUACUUAACGCCUAAUACUUUUGACAUUAUAAAGUGUCAAGUAGAGAUUACUGAAUGUCGAUGGAUAAAGAUUGAUGAGUUUUUACAACAUCCAGAAGUACAUGAAACUAAUCGUAUAUUUGCUAAAAAAAUGAUUGAAUUUUUGAAGAAUCCCGUAGGGAUAACUGCAGAACAUGGAACGCAUCCAAUUACUAAAAAACCUAUUUGUAUAUACAGUAUAUUAAUGAAUAAAAACAUAUGUGAAUGUAAAAAAUAAGUUAAUUAUAUAAUAUCAUGACAGAAUAAGUAAUAAAUAUUUUUAAAUUAUAAAUUCUAGAACAAUAUAAUAUAUAUGUAUACAAAACAUUAAAAGAUAUGAAUUAUCUUCUCUAUUUCUUUUAGUUUUCUUUUUAUUUUUGAAUUUUUUUUCAGAUAAGAAAGUAAUAUUAACAGUAAGUAAUACUAAGAAAGCAAAAAUUUUAUGUAUAUCUAUAUGUUUUAGUAAAUUCAAAAAUUUUUAAGAUAUAGUCAUAAUGCAUUUGUGCAGUUAGAAGGAAUAACUUACUACACAUAGCACUAUAUAAAUUUUGUCCAAAUUUUUUGUUUUUUCUUAAACACGUAUAUACAUUACAAUAUUUUUUUUUUAAUGAAAAAAAUGCAGCACAUAGUUGGAUGUAUGAUGUAAGAAUAUUAUUAUUGCGAAAUUUUUCAUCGUUACAGUUUGCGUCUUACGUUGCAAAAUGUAGAAAAAAAGGGAAUAAUUAACUUUGAUUGGUGGAUUUCCUUAUGGUUUUACCUUACAUCGAGACGUGAUGAGAGAUAAACGAAAGCAAUAGUAAGAAUAACUGCAAAAAAGAAAGAAAAACCAUACGAAUAUAGGAUAAAUAAAGAUAUAAUGAAGACUGGAUAUGUUAUAUAUGGCAAGAUAACAUAGGAAUAACAAAGUUGGCGUGCUCUAUCAUGUAGAGCUUAAGAAAUCUGAAGUAGUAUUGAAUUAUAAUAAAUUUAUGGGCGGAGUGGACCGCGCAGAUCAAUUUGGAUUGUUGUUUUUUACGCAAAACAUUAAAAUGGUGGCGGAAAACUUUUCUGGGGAAUUGAAGUAUCCUCCUUGAAUUCUUAUAUUCUGUAUAAAGCUAAUUGUAAACAUAACAACAGUAAACCAAUGUCUCAUAUAAAAUUUAUUCGGAAAUUAGUUAUGUCCUUAAUUGGGAAUUUACGUGAAGGUGAGACUCCGCGAUAUGGAACACCAUCAACAGACAAUGAGGAUAGAUUAGAUAGAAAACUACAUAUCUUGCAAGCUGAUGCUAAAGAAAACAUAACGAUUGCUUAGUAUGUUCUAAUCGUAAGUUGCCUGGAGGAAAAAAAACAACAGUAUACUUCUGUGAAACGUGCAACAGAAAACCGUUCCUUCAUGUUGGAGUUUGUUUCAAAAAAUAUCAUACGUUAAAAACUUAUAAAUAAUUAUUUGAAACUCAUAUAUUUGUAAUACACCUUUAAAAAAUAUAAUAAUUUCUAACAAAAA